GACGAACGCUGGCGGCGUGCCUAAUACAUGCAAGUUGAGCGAUGAAGAUUGGUGCUUGCACCAAUUUGAAGAGCAGCGAACGGGUGAGUAACGCGUGGGGAAUCUGCCUUUGAGCGGGGGACAACAUUUGGAAACGAAUGCUAAUACCGCAUAACAACUUUAAACAUAAGUUUUAAGUUUGAAAGAUGCAAUUGCAUCACUCAAAGAUGAUCCCGCGUUGUAUUAGCUAGUUGGUGAGGUAAAGGCUCACCAAGGCGAUGAUACAUAGCCGACCGAGAGGGUGAUCGGCCACAUUGGGACUGAGACACGGCCCAAACUCCUACGGGAGGCAGCAGUAGGGGAUCUUCGGCAAUGGACGAAAGUCUGACCGAGCAACGCCGCGUGAGUGAAGAAGGUUUUCGGAUCGUAAAACUCUGUUGGUAGAGAAGAACGUUGGUGAGAGUGGAAAGCUCAUCAAGUGACGGUAACUACCCAGAAAGGGACGGCUAACUACGUG
rnacentral:rRNA from 1 species